CACUGGGGGAGAUGCAGAGAGUUGUUUAAAUUUACAUUGAUAAGCAGGGUAAUGCCUGGUUAGUACUUGGAUGAGAGACCGCUGGGAAUACCAGGUGCCACAGUGA
rnacentral:rRNA from 1 species